GCUUCAGUAGCUUAACCAAUAAAGCAUUGGUCUUGUAAACCAAAGAAUGAAAAAUGAACCUUUCCUGAGGCU
rnacentral:tRNA from 1 species